ACUCCUACGGGAGGCAGCAGUGGGGAAUAUUGCACAAUGGGGGAAACCCUGAUGCAGCGACGCCGCGUGGAGGAAGAAGGUCUUCGGAUUGUAAACUCCUGUUGUUGAGGAAGAUAAUGACGGUACUCAACAAGGAAGUGACGGCUAACUACGUGCCAGCAGCCGCGGUAAAACGUAGGUCACAAGCGUUGUCCGGAAUUACUGGGUGUAAAGGGAGCGCAGGCGGGAGAACAAGUUGGAAGUGAAAUCCAUGGGCUCAACCCAUGAACUGCUUUCAAAACUGUUUUUCUUGAGUAGUGCAGAGGUAGGCGGAAUUCCCGGUGUAGCGGUGGAAUGCGUAGAUAUCGGGAGGAACACCAGUGGCGAAGGCGGCCUACUGGGCACCAACUGACGCUGAGGCUCGAAAGUGUGGGUAGCAAACAGGAUUAGAUACCCUGGUAGUCCACACCGUAAACGAUGAUUACUAGGUGUUGGAGGAUUGACCCCUUCAGUGCCGCAGUUAACACAAUAAGUAAUCCACCUGGGGAGUACGACCGCAAGGUUGAAACUCAAAGGAAUUGACGGGGGCCCGCACAAGCAGUGGAGUAUGUGGUUUAAUUCGACGCAACGCGAAGAACCUUACCAAGUCUUGACAUCCCUUGACGAUGCUGGAAACAGUAUUUCUCUUCGGAGCAAGGAGACAGGUGGUGCAUGGUUGUCGUCAGCUCGUGUCGUGAGAUGUUGGGUUAAGUCCCGCAACGAGCGCAACCCU
rnacentral:rRNA from 1 species